UACGGAGGGUGCAAGCGUUAAUCGGAAUUACUGGGCGUAAAGGGUGCGUAGGCGGUUGUUUAAGUCUGUCGUGAAAUCCCCGGGCUCAACCUGGGAAUGGCGAUGGAUACUGGCGAGCUAGAGUGUGUCAGAGGAUGGUGGAAUUCCCGGUGUAGCGGUGAAAUGCGUAGAGAUCGGGAGGAACAUCAGUGGCGAAGGCGGCCAUCUGGGACAACACUGACGCUGAAGCACGAAAGCGUGGGGAGCAAACAGG
rnacentral:rRNA from 1 species